UGGGUUGUAACUCAGUGGUAGAGCACUUGCCUAGCACACAUGAGGCCCUGGGUUUGAUCCUCAGCACCACAU
rnacentral:tRNA from 1 species